UUUAAUACUCCUGACUCUCCUUUGCUUGGGAAUGGCCUCAGCGGCUCCCAAAUUUGAUCACAGUGCAGAGGUGCAAUCAGACCUGUGGAUGGUGACACCUGGAGCAGUAUUUAACACGGUUGAAGACACAGUCAAUAAUUCAGCGCUAGAGAAAAGCCCUGAAGCACCUGAAAAGGAUAAUCAGGAGCAAAGCCAAGAACAAGAGAGCCUGCAAACUUAAGCGAAUGCCUCUGACUACAUAAGCCUGCGAAUUAGAAUAGGCAAAGGAAUAUUUGACAUGGUUAAAGGUGAAGCCCGGAAAGCAGUGUUGGAGAAAAUUGGCAAAAAGAUUGGAAAGACCAUUAUGGGAGGAAGCAAAAAACCACAAACAAAGAAAGACUUUGCU